AUCUUCUUAUAUAUUCUUAUAUAUAAGAAUAUAUAAGUAGUGGUGGAAAGAAUUUUCAUUCCUACAUAUGUACUAGAGAAACAGCUUGCGAAAUGGUGCACAGAAAAACUUGAAAAUUAUAAAUUUACUACUAUCUCUCCUUCAAAUUUCAUUGAUAGUCUGCUGGAGAAAAGCAUUAUGCCAAACCAAGUUAUGCAGGUGUUUGACUAUAACUCAUUGUAUCCAUCAAUAAAACAUGAGCUGACAUGCCUCCCCUUAUACCGUUUUUUACUACAACAUCUACCAAACCAUCAUUGUGACCCAGGGCUCAUUAGGAGAAUAUGUCAUAUCAUAGUUUGCAAAUCUUACUUAAGUUUUAAUAACAAAAUUUAUCUGCAAAUUGUAGGAGUUCCUAUAGGAAGUCCAUUAGCUGGUGUAAUUGCGGAAUUAGUAGUUUGUUACAAGGAGGCAAUCCUUGAACUGUUACUGGAC
rnacentral:lncRNA from 1 species